UGUAUAGCAACUGCUAGUUGCACUAAAAACUUUAGUGUAAAAUCAACUUAGUUGAAUAAAAUUCUGGGUAGAAUUAUGAUAAUGACAUUAUCUGUCCAUAAGUCUUGACCAAAUUACGUGCCAGCAGUCGCGGUAAUACGUAGAAGACAAGUGUUAUUCAUCUUUAAUAGGUUUAAAGGGUACUUAGACGGUAAAUCAAGCCUUAAAAAGGGACUAAUUUGCUAGAGUUUUAUGUGAAAAAGUAUUAAAGUACUGCUGGUGUAGAGAUGAAAUUCUGUCAUACCUUGAAUGGCACAGGUUAAGGCGAAAGCAUCUUUUUAUGUAAAAACUGACGUUGAAGGACGAAGGCUUUGUGUCUCGAACAGGAUUAGAUACCCUAGUAGUCUAAGCAGACAAUGAUGAAUGUCAUAGAUUAGAUGUAAUUUUAUCUAUAAAUGAAAGUGUAAGCAUUCCACCUCAAGAGUAAUUUGGCAACAUUGGAACUGAAAUCAUUAGACCGUUUCUGAAACCAGUAGUGAAGUAUGUUGUUUAAUUUGAUAAUCCGCAAAAAACCUUACCACAAUAUGAAUAGAUAUAUUUUAUCAUACAAGCGUUGCACGGCUGUCUUCAGUUAAUGUCGUGAGACUUUGGUUAGUUCCAUAAAAUUAACGUAAACCCUUACUUUAUUUACUAAUAAAGUAGUUCACCGCUAUAUUGGAUGUAGAUAACAGGGAUCAAGACAAGUCAUCAUGACCUAAAUAUUAUGGGCUAUAGACGUGCCGCAUAUGCCUUACAAAGAGAUGCUAAAUUGUGAAAUUAAGCUAACCUCCUAAAAU
rnacentral:rRNA from 1 species